ACACCUCAACUCUUCAUGGUUUUCCAUGAUGAGUUUGGACUUUGGGGGUUUUGCUGGCCUAUGGUCAGCUCCUCUAAAAUAAAUCAGCUUGCCAGUGUUUGGUGGGUAUCAUAGGUGUGAUAACUAACUAUCUACGCUUGUGGUUCUUCCACCAGGUAACCUUCAGCAAUGGAGGUUCACUGGAGCUCAUAGACGUCUCUCCUCAGUGAGGACAGCCCUUUGAAU
rnacentral:misc_RNA from 1 species